rnacentral:rRNA from 1 species
AGCAGCCGCGGUAAUUCCAGCUCCAAUAGCGUAUAUUAAAGUUGUUGCAGUUAAAAAGCUCGUAGUUGAAUUUCGGGACCAGUAUGUUGGUCGUGCUUCGGUACGUACUGUCAUUACUGGUUUCUCCCUUCUGAAGAACCUUGAUGUCAUUAAUUUGGUGUCUUGGGGAAUCAGGACUGUUACUUUGAAAAAAUUAGAGUGUUUAAAGCAGGCAUACGCUUGAAUACAUUAGCAUGGAAUAAUGAAAUAGGACGUUUGAUUCUAUUUUGUUGGUUUCUAGGAUCGACGUAAUGAUUAAUAGGGAUAGUUGGGGGCAUUAGUAUUCAAUUGUCAGAGGUGAAAUUCUUGGAUUUAUUGAAGACUAACUACUGCGAAAGCAUUUGCCAAGGAUGUUUUCAUUAAUCAAGAACGAAAGUUAGGGGAUCGAAGACGAUCAGAUACCGUCGUAGUCUUAACCAUAAACUAUGCCGACUAGGGAUCGGAUGAUGUUAUUU